UACUAAGCUACUAAGGGCAUAUGGUGGAUGCCUUGGCACGAUGAGGCGAUGAAGGACGUAGCGAGCUGCGAUAAGCCACGGUGAGGUGCAAGCAACCUUUGACCCGUGGAUCUCCGAAUGGGGAAACCCCAGAUUUAUCUGACUUUGGAAACAAAUCCAGGCUUUCCAAAGGGCGAACCAGGGGAACUGAACCAUCUCAGUACCCUGAGGAAAAGAAAGAAAAUUCGAUUCCCUGAGUAGCGGCGAGCGAAAUGGGAAGAGCCUAAACCGACUGUUCCGUAAAAGGUGGCAGCCGUUGGAACAGCGGGGUCGUGGGGCAAAAUCGCUUCCAGCUGCCAGGAGGAAGGGAGAGUUAAAAACCAAUUGUUUAGCCGAAUCGCCUGGGAAGGCGAACCAUAGAAGGUGAAAGUCCUGUAGGCGAAAGGCAAUUGGCUCUCUGGAUUUUGUCCCCAAGUAGUGCCGAGCACGUGGAAUUCGGCGCGAAUCAGGGAGGACCACCUCCUAAGGCUAAAUACUCCAUCGUGACCGAUAGUGCACUAGUACCGUGAGGGAAAGGUGAAAAGCACCCCAGGCGGGGAGUGAAAAGAACCUGAAACCAUAUGCCUACAAGCUGUGGGAGCCAAUUCCCGAGUUCUCUUCGGAGAACCCGGGAUAGGUGACCGCGUGCCUAUUGAAUAAUGAGCCUGCGAGUUAAUCUCUGUCGCAUGGUUAAGGGGUUAAGCCCCGGAGCCGUAGCGAAAGCGAGUCCCAAAAGGGCGCAAGUGGCAGGGAUUAGACCCGAAACCGGGUGAUCUACCCAUGGCCAGGUUGAAGUGGGUGUAAUGACCCAUGGAGGACCGAACCGGUGUACGUUGAAAAGGGCUCGGAUGAGCUGUGGGUAGGGGUGAAAGUCCAAUCAAACUCGGAGAUAGCUGGUUCUCCCCGAAAUGCCUUUUGGGGCAGCCUCGGACCGACAGUUAUGGCGGUAGAGCACUGAUUGAGCUAGGGGGAGCAAUCCUACCGAACUCUCUCAAACUCCGAAUGCCAUAACUCAAUGUCCGGGAGUGAGGAUACGUGCGAUAAGGUGCGUGUCCUAAAGGAAAACAAGCCAGACCGUCAGCUAAGGUCCCAAAGUUGUGACUGAGUGAUCUAAAGGAUGUGGGAUUACUCAGACAGCCAGGAGGUUGGCUUAGAAGCAGCCAUCCUUUAAAGAGUGCGUAAAAGCUCACUGGUCGAGUAGUCCUGCGCCGAAAAUGAUCGGGGCUAAGUCACACACCGAAGCUACGGAAUCAUCCUCAAGUUUUGGGGAUGGUUGGUAGGGGAGCGUCCUCAUGUAGGAUGAAGGCAAAGGGCAACCUUUGCUGGACGAAUGAGGAGUGAUUAUGCAGGCACGAGUAGCGAUAAAAUGGGUGAGAAUCCCGUUCACCGAAAGUCUAAGGUUUCCUGGGGAAGGUUCGUCCGCCCAGGGUUAGCCGGCCCCUAAGCCGAGGCAGGAAUGCGUAGGUGAUGGGAAACGGGUUAAUAUUCCCGUGCCACGCUCAUUGUAGCGAUGGGGGGACGCAGAAGGAGAGGUGAGCCCGGCGUUGGUAGCCCGGGUCUAAGCUCGUAGGAGGGGGUUUCAGGUAAAUCCGAAACCCUGAGGCGAAAGCCUCAACUCCGAGAAGCGAAUGCGACCCGACCCGAAAGGGAAGGGGAAGUCACCGGUCUCCAGGCUGCCAAGAAAAGCCUCUAAGCGACAAAGAGCAAUGAGCGUGACCGUACCGCAAACCGACACAGGUAGACGAGGAGAGUAUCCAAAGGUGCGCGAGAUAACCUCCGUUAAGGAACUAGGCAAUCUAACCCCGUAACUUCGGGAGAAGGGGUGCCUCAAGUAGGUGAGGUGUUAAGCGAGGUAAAACUUUGCCGACACACCGAGCCGAAAGGGGCCGCAGAGAAGUGGCUCGAACGACUGUUUAUCAAAAACACAAGUCUCUGCUAACCCUCAGAAGGGGAUGUAUAGGGACUGACACCUGCCCAGUGCCGGAAGGUUAAGGGGAACCGUUAGGGGGAGCAAUCCCUCGAAGCGGCGAACCGAAGCCCCGGUAAACGGCGGCCGUAACUAUAACGGUCCUAAGGUAGCGAAAUUCCUUGUCGGGUAAGUUCCGACCCGCACGAAAGGUGUAACGAUUCGAGCGCUGUCUCGACGGAGGGCUCGGCGAAACUGAAGCAGCGGUGAAGAUACCGCUUACUCGCACUGGGACGGAAAGACCCCGGAACCUUUACUGCAGCUUGACACUGGAUUUUGGUACUCUAUGUGUAGGAUAGGUGGGAGGCUGUGAAGCCCGGACGCCAGUUCGGGUGGAGCCGUCCUUGAAAUACCACCCUUAGAUUAUCGAAGUCCUAACCUCGGGCCCGUGCAGGGUCAGGGACAAUGUCAGGCGGGCAGUUUAACUGGGGCGGUUGCCUCCUAAAAGGUAACGGAGGCGCCCAAAGGUCCCCUCAGCGCGGUCGGAAAUCGCGCAACGAGUGCAAAGGCAUAAGGGGGCUUAACUGUGAGGGAGACAUCCCGAGCAGGUGCGAAAGCAGGGCUUAGUGAUCCGGCGGCUUUGAGUGGAAGAGCCGUCGCUCAUCGGAUAAAAGGUACUCCGGGGAUAACAGGCUGAUCACGCCCGAGCGUCCACAGCGACGGCGUGGUUUGGCACCUCGAUGUCGGCUCAUCGCAUCCUGGGGCUGAAGAAGGUCCCAAGGGUCGGUCUGUUCGCCCGUUAAAGCGGUACGUGAGCUGGGUUCAGAACGUCGUGAGACAGUUCGGUCCCUAUCUAGUGCGAGCGCAGGAGAUUUGAGGGGGGCAUUCCCUAGUACGAGAGGACCGGGAAUGACGAACCUCCAGUAUACCAGCUGUAGUGCCAACUGCACCGCUGGGUAGCUGUGUUCGGUCGGGAUAAGCGCUGAAAGCAUCUAAGCGCGAAGCCCACCCCAAGAUUAGAUCUCCCAAGCCGUUAGGCUUCUCGAAGGUCCCAGGUAGACUACCUGGUUGAUAGGCCACAGGUGUAAGGCGAGCAAUCGCUUGAGCCGAGUGGUACUAAUAGACCGUUCGGCUUAGCUCUCCC
rnacentral:rRNA from 1 species